rnacentral:rRNA from 1 species
GCGAUCGGAGACCUCUAAUCGGAAAAGACUACCCGCCGAAUUUAAGC